ACCAAAGACUUCCUCUUCUUCACUAACUCUACUGCCAAAAAAGAACUUCUAGGGUUCUUAAUUUAGAACGCUUACUUAUUCUACAUAGCAAAUUAAGUAAUGGAAAACCUAACAAAAAUAAUGAUCUCAAAUGUAUUAAACACAAAUACAGAAAUCUUAAAUGAAAAGGGGUGAAAAAUUACAAAUCUGAAGUGAAGUGAUUGAUUCUCUCUGCAGCCUACAGAAAGAAAGAAAGAAAGAGAGAGGGAAACAUCGUUCAAUUCGGUCGUAUUUGUUUAACACUCAAGAAUUUAAAGAUACGAGCCUCUAGAAAUUCUUGUUACUCUAGUAUUUCUGUUUCAUGUUUCAAUUUCAGUAGAUCCACUUUUAUGGAACUCCAUAGUGUAUUCUGUUUUAUAUUUUUUUGAUCCUAGGGGUGCUCAAGAUUCUACAUCCAAAUUCCACUUGCAAAAAUUCUAGUUUUGGUCUUAGAAGAAGACAGUAGUGAAUUUUAUCCUACCAUACCGACCUUUUUUUUAAUUUGAUCAGAACAUUUGAGCCGCAUUAUGUUAUAGUAUGCUUCCUAGCCUAGCUAACUGAUUAUCCUUUUUUUUUUGGUAAGCAAAAAUUGAAAUACUGAAAAGGGCAACUUACAUGAUUUUGUUGAGAGCCUGAACCCCUCAAUCCUAUCAUAGUCUAGAAGUUCAAAAUAUAACUAGGUGGAUCUCCUUGAUAGUUACAGGCUGUAAUUGCAUUGGUUUUGAGCCAAUGCAAUUGCUGCCUGAUUAGCUUUCUUAGUUACAAGAGUAAAAACAAAUGAUUUUUGUUGUUGGCAAGGCCUCAAAAAAUCAGUCCCUCUGUUACUCCGAACAGAUUUUGCCCGCCAUUCCAUUUUGCACUUGAGUCCGGUAGUCAUUUUGAUGAGGUUACUGCUGACAAGCUUCAACGAUUAUGUUUGACUCUUCUUUUAGAAAGCCCCACUUCCAAGCAUUAAUCGCUGCUAGCGCUUCACCCAUCUCCUUAGUCUGAGCUCUUGUUGCUGUGACAUUCACUUCCCUGCAAUAGCCAAAAACAUUUCUUAGAAUUACGGCAGAAAUAGAGAGUUUUGUUAUCGGGUUCCAUUUAGUAGGCACAUUUAUUUUAACCACUCCCAUUGAAGGACAUCUCCAGAUAUUAUCCAUUAGUUGUUGUCGGGGGUUGGUGUUCAGAACUGGUUUGGUCUUUCUGAUUUUAAAGUUUUCCUCCCAAAAGUGAUGAGCUCUUUCAAAUGUUUGCUUAGGGUUUGGAGUAAUUCCUUGGUAAAACUUUUUGCAUCUAGUUUUCCAUAUGUGCCAGGCAAUUGCGGCACAAAGAGCAUCAUAAGGGCCUCUAUCUGAUGACCAACCAGUUGGGGUUUGAUUCCAGCUAAGAAUCCAUUGAGAGACUGAUUGAGAAGAGCCAUCUGUUGGAUACAGACCAACUUGCUCGAUACCUUUUUGUGCUCAGUUUCAUAUCCAAUUUGUUCGGUUUGCAUUUAUUUGGAAAGGUUGGCACCAGGAUCAAACUAGUAAUCUCAAGUAUGAAUAUUAGUCCCCUAUUCAGAUGGUCUACUUUCAGUUGGUUACUAAAAUCCCACCCGGUAUUUCAUAAUAUAUGUUUUAGCAACUGGUCACCACUCUCAAUCUGUGGUACAUAAAUCAUCUUUUCGUCCUAUCGAUAUUGCAUGUUAUUCCUAAAAUCUCUUUGAAGUUAAUUCAAUCUUAUGUCCAGAGAUUGGUGAAUCCUACUGUGUAUUACAACCACCUGUUUAAAUCAAGUAUUAGAUAGACACACAUUCUAAAUGUACAUUGGAUAGAACUUUAACACACAUUUAGAACAGAGAUAUACGAACAGGAAAUUUUUAUUUUCUUCACAAACUUAAAAGAUUCAAUCAUCUGAGAAACCUCACAUAAGCAGAAAUCCUUGAAUUCCAUAAACUUGUAAUUGACACUUCAUCAAGCAAAUAACCUGAAACCGACAGUUUAAACCCCUUUGAAUAUAUAUCGAAAACUCUAAGACAAUUAGGCACUGGUCUUUAGUACUUGAUUAUAUUGUAGUCUUUUUUUCAUUAACAUAUGCCGAUAGACACAUAGUUUUUGGAGUUUAACUUUGUAGAGUGGUUCUUUCAGGAAAUGGACCAAUGGGGCAAGAAGCAUACAUACUCCGAGGCUCCCGAGAUUCCUGGUUGGGUGAUAGGGCUGAUCGUUUCUUUACUGGUUGUGCUCGUGGUAGGGGGUUAUUUCAUGGUCCAGUGGUGUGUGAAUCGACACCGACGCCGCUUUCAUGUUGUGGAGGAACCACACAUAGAGCUACAGGAAGUCGUAGUGGAGCAACCGUGAUUUGAUAUAUCUAUGGGGAGAUAAACAGGGGUGAUCAAUGACAUAGAGUGCCUUUAUCAUUUCUUUAGUGCCUUUAUCAUUUCUUUAUAACAACUGACAGUUAUCUUUACAGUUAACUCUGCCUGAUAUAUAAAGGCCUCUCUGUAUUCUUGGUUUGAGAAAUGAAAGAUAUUUUGUUCUUGGUUCUAUGAAAACCACUAUGGUAUCAGAUAGAGAAACUAUGUAAGAUCAUGUUUCAUGUUUCAGAUCUACUUUUCAAUUUCUUCGUUUUCCUUCAACAAUCACUAAUCCUUUUUCUCCAAUUUGUUUCAAUAUCGAUCAAUUUUUUGAUUCGUCUGUCCUGUUUCUUCAAGAUCUCAGAUCAAUUUUUUAAAAUCAUUUUUUGAUUUUCUUUCUGAAAGUGUCUUUAUUCAAGAUUUCGUUUCGUACUCUAUGGAAAAUCCAACCUCAGACUCAGAUUUGCUAGAGUUUCGUCUACUCACUCAAUUCAAUUACGAACCAAACAUCUAUCCAUUAAACAAGGUGAUAAAUCAAUACCUUCUCUUAUAAAUGGAAUUAAAUUGCUAUCUGAUCAACUAGCUACAUCCGGUUCUAGAGUUACAGAUGAUGAAUUAGUUGUUGUUAACUUGUCUGCUUUUAAUUCUGAGUAUGCUUCAUUUCCAACCUCAAUUCGUAUAUGCUAUCCUCCUGUUUCUAGCAUUGAGUUGCAUAACUUGCUUUUGUGUGAAGAAUGAGUUAUUAGUGAAUACAAUAAAUCUCUUCAUGUUGAGUCUACUAAUUUGGCCUUUGCUACAUCCACAAAUCAAUCUAAUAGACUUGGAAGAGGUUUUGGUCGAGGCUACUCUAAUUUUUCUUCUAGAGGUGGUUACUCUAAUUUUUCUCCAAGAGGUGGUGGUCGUGGUUACUUCAACUCUGACAGAGGAUUUGGUCGUGGUAUAUCUCACACUCCUGCAAGCUGUUUCUCGACCUCCUCCUCCUGAUCUUCAAUCUAGUGAUCGUCCUACCUGUCAGAUUUGCAGAAAAUAUGGUCAUGAAGCUCCAGAAUGUUGGAAUCGUCUUAACUUUGCUUAUCAAGGUGUGAUCCUCCUCGUAAUAUUCAAGCAAUGCUUUCUUCUACGAACAUUUGGGGAAACUCCAUGGUAUAUGGAUUCUGGUGCUAACAACCACUUGACUUCUGAUGCCACCAAUUUGGAUGCUUCUACUUCCUACUCUGGUCAUGAGAUGGUUUCGACAACUAAUGGAGAAGGACCUGAAAUCAGGGAGGAUCCUCUUCAAAGGUCCCAGUGAACAUGGUCUUUAUCCUCUGCAUAAAUACAUUCGCUUCGCUAAAGCAUUAUCCUGUGUUGCUGCUUGCUCUGGAAUCUGGC